GACGAACGCUGGCGGCGUGCUUAACACAUGCAAGUCGAACGGAAAGGCCCUGCUUUUGUGGGGUGCUCGAGUGGCGAACGGGUGAGUAACACGUGAGUAACCUGCCCUUGACUUUGGGAUAACUUCAGGAAACUGGGGCUAAUACCGGAUAGGAGCUCCUGCUGCAUGGUGGGGGUUGGAAAGUUUCGGCGGUUGGGGAUGGACUCGCGGCUUAUCAGCUUGUUGGUGGGGUAGUGGCUUACCAAGGCUUUGACGGGUAGCCGGCCUGAGAGGGUGACCGGCCACAUUGGGACUGCGAUACGGCCCAGACUCCUACGGGAGGCAGCAGUGGGGAUUAUUGCACAAUGGGCGGAAGCCUGAUGAAGCAACGCCGCGUGCGGGAUGACGGCCUUCGGGUUGUAAACCGCUUUCGCCUGUGACGAAGCGUGAGUGACGGUAAUGGGUAAAGAAGCACCGGCUAACUACGUG
rnacentral:rRNA from 1 species